rnacentral:tRNA from 1 species
GCGCCCGUAGCUCAGUUGGAUAGAGCACCGGAUUUCUAAUCCGAAGGUCAGGGGUUCGAAUCCCUUCGGGCGUG